CCUACGGGCGGCUGCAGUGGGGAAUAUUGGACAAUGGGGGAAACCCUGAUCCAGCCAUGCCGCGUGGGUGAUGAAGGCCUUCGGGUUGUAAAGCCCUGUCGGGAGGGACGAAGAAAUGACGGUACCUCCCAAGAAAGCACCGGCUAACUCCGUGCCAGCAGCCGCGGUAAUACGGAGGGUGCAAGCGUUGCUCGGAAUUACUGGGCGUAAAGCGUACGCAGGCGGCCUGAUAAGUCGGAUGUGAAAUCCCCAAGCUCAACUUGGGAACUGCAUCCGAAACUGUCUGGCUUGAGUUCGGGAGAGGGAAGUGGAAUUCCUGGUGUAGAGGUGAAAUUCGUUGAUAUCAGGAGGAACACCGGCGGCGAAAGCGGCUUCCUGGCCCGAUACUGACGCUCAUGUACGAAAGCGUGGGGAGCAAACAGGAUUAGAUACCCCAGUAGUC
rnacentral:rRNA from 1 species